rnacentral:misc_RNA from 1 species
CGUGGAGGCAAUGGUUUUGGUGACAGUGGUGGAAGUGGGGGAAGUGGCUUCUCAUAAAUUGGAACCGGAGGAGGAAGCGAGAUUGGAGGGUAAACUUUUGGAGGCAGCGGAGGAAACUCCUUACCAAAGAACAAUGGAUGAUCAACUACCUCCUUUGUUUUAACAUCACCAUAGCAAAAGGUGGCAGCAAACAGCAAAGAAACAUACAAGCACAGAAGUGCUUCUCUAAAAACGGAGAGAAUCCUCAUUGGAACCAAUCUU